UAGACUGAAGCCAAAACAGAGGCAUUUAACUGUUAAUUAAAGUAUUGUUAAAAUUUAACCUGUCUAG
rnacentral:tRNA from 1 species